rnacentral:lncRNA from 1 species
GCGAUGGAAGCCGUUAGGGCGUGGCGGAACCGGAAGGCGGCCUAGGGACGCACGCAGGCUCGGCUGUCUCUUUAGGCCACGGAGCUGCGUAGAUCCGGAACCCUGGGCGACUGAUCUGUCCCCAUUGGGCGAGACCUACCUAGACAAAGGCCUUAACAUACCGACAAAGGCCUUAAGGGGCCUGGGAGGCAUGAACCUUCAGAGCCCUGAGCUGCCUUGUAAGAAGUCUAGCUAGCAAUGCCACCAUGCUGGAGAGAUGAUGAGGGAAAACUACAUACAGACACAAACAGAGUGAGACACUCAAGAAGCCCUAGUUGUGGAAUACAGCAGUGCUAUGGAGGCUUGACAUAACCAUCUACUUUUCCAGAAACCCACAUUGUCUAAGGUGAUAACAGAGGAAAUACCUGCCUGAUGCUCUCAAUGUCAUCAGUUAAACUGAAGGCACAACAGAAAGGAUUUGUCAGUAAAAUAACUGCUCUGGAAAAGAAGGCAAGAAAGUAAAACAAGGCAAUUUCAC